GUGCCAGCAGCGGCGGUAAUACGUAGGUGGCAAGCGUUGUCCGGAUUUAUUGGGCGUAAAGGGAACGCAGGCGGUCUUUAAGUCUGAUGUGAAAGCCUUCGGCUUAACCGAAGUCGUGCAUUGGAAACUGGGAGACUUGAGUGCAGAAGAGGAGAGUGGAACUCCAUGUGUAGCGGUGAAAUGCGUAGAUAUAUGGAAGAACACCAGUGGCGAAAGCGGCUCUCUGGUCUGUAACUGACGCUGAGGUUCGAAAGCGUGGGUAGCAAACAGGAUUAGAUACCCUGGUAGUCCACGCUGUAAACGAUGAAUGCUAAGUGUUGAGGUUUCCGCCUUCAGUGCCGCAGCAAACGCAUUAAGCAUUCGCCUGGGAGUACGACCGCAAGUUGAAACUCAAAG
rnacentral:rRNA from 1 species